rnacentral:rRNA from 1 species
AUUGAACGCUGGCGGCAGGCCUAACACAUGCAAGUCGAGCGGAUGAAGGGAGCUUGCUCCUGGAUUCAGCGGCGGACGGGUGAGUAAUGCCUAGGAAUCUGCCUGGUUGUGGGGGAUAACGUCCGGAAACGGGCGCUAAUACCGCAUACGUCCUGAGGGAGAAAGUGGGGGAUCUUCGGACCUCACGCUAUCAGAUGAGCCUAGGUCGGAUUAGCUAGUUGGUGGGGUAAAGGCCUACCAAGGCGACGAUCCGUAACUGGUCUGAGAGGAUGAUCAGUCACACUGGAACUGAGACACGGUCCAGACUCCUACGGGAGGCAGCAGUGGGGAAUAUUGGACAAUGGGCGAAAGCCUGAUCCAGCCAUGCCGCGUGUGUGAAGAAGGUCUUCGGAUUGUAAAGCACUUUAAGUUGGGAAGAAGGGCAGUAAGUUAAUACCUUGCUGUUUUGACGUUACCAACAGAAUAAGCACCGGCUAACUUCGUG